rnacentral:tmRNA from 1 species
GGGGAUGACUUGGUAUCGAUUAGAGCAGUGAGGAUUAGUUGCAUGUCGGCCUGAACAUGCCGUUACGCGGUUCAUUUUUUUUAGACGCAAACAAUACAGAUUACGCUCCAGCUUACGCUAAAGUAGCAUAAGUUAAACACAGACUCGCCUAACGGCUUGAGACUUUGGAGGUUUCCACUACAGAUUCUAUCUAUGUAGUAACACGGAGAUUCACCCUAGAUAGAUUAUCAUCUUAGAAUUGAUUUGAAUUAGAUGAGACAUUUAAAAUCUUAGCUUUUUGUUAGCCUUGCAGGUUGAGCUUUUAAAAAGUGAAAUUAAUCAACCUUUUACUAAGCAUGUAGACGCUGGUAGUAGCUGUUUUAAGACUCCGGUUCAAUUCCGGACAUCUCCACCA